rnacentral:snoRNA from 1 species
UAUGCCAGUGAUGAUAACUAUUAUUACUUCUUAUGAAAAAAUGAUUACUUUUUAACAUGCACUACCAGCUGAGGCAUU